UGCAGGCACCCUUGGAAGCUAACGAGCGCUUCUUUUGGAGUUCUUUCUGGUCACAGGAGCUGAUUUCAGAAUAUUAAAAGCCUAAACAUCAUAGAGGUCAUGGUGGAAGUCAGUGGACACAGUUCACACCAAACAUCUGCUGUGGAUUUCAAAUAGAGGAAUGGCUUGCAGAUGGAGGCACCCUGUCAUGCCAGUCCACUAAUUUAAUCGUGGAUGCUGAAAAUGCUGUCUGGAAGCUUCCAAGGAUGCACCAUACAACAUUUAAGUUGUGGUGUAAUGAUCAUUGAUAUGUUCGUUGUGUUCAGGAGUAAAUAAGAGCACAGAAAAGAGUGACAGGGACUGAGAGCAUGGAAAGGAAAUUGGAAAGUGAUGCCAAAAAGCAGAUGAGUGUAGGGGAACAAUAGAUGUGUGAAACCCUUCAUGUCACCACC